rnacentral:rRNA from 1 species
GCAGGCGCGAAACCUUUACACUGCACGACAGUGCGAUAGGGGGAUCCCAAGUGCACAGGCAUAGCGCCUGUGCUUUUCGGUACCCUAGGGCGGUACCAGAAUAAGGGCUGGGCAAGACCGGUGCCAGCCGCCGCGGUAAUACCGGCAGCCCAAGUGAUGGCCGAUCUUAUUGGGCCUAAAGCGUCCGUAGCUGGCCGUACAAGUCCAUCGGGAAAUCCACCUGCUCAACAGGUGGGCGCCCGGUAGAAACUGUGCGGCUUGGGACCGGAAGGCGCGACGGGUACGUCCGGGGUAGGAGUGAAAUCCCGUAAUCCUGGACGGACCGCCGAUGGCGAAAGCACGUCGCGAGAACGGAUCCGACAGUGAGGGACGAAAGCCAGGGUCUCGAACCGGAUUAGAUACUCGGAUAGUCCUGGCCGUAAACAAUGUCUGCUAGGUGUGGCUCCCACUACGAGUGGGUGCUGUGCCGUAGGGAAGCCGCUAAGCAGACCGCCUGGGAAGUACGUCCGCAAGGAUGAAACUUAAAGGAAUUGGCGGGGGAGCACUACAACCGGAGGAGCCUGCGGUUUAAUUGGAUUCAACGCCGG